rnacentral:rRNA from 1 species
AGCGAACGCUGGCGGCAGGCCUAACACAUGCAAGUCGAGCGCCGUAGCAAUACGGAGCGGCAGACGGGAGAGUAACACGUGGGAACGUGCCUUUAGGUUCGGAAUAACUCAGGGAAACUUGUGCUAAUACCGAAUGUGCCCUUCGGGGGAAAGAUUUAUCGCCUUUAGAGCGGCCCGCGUCUGAUUAGCUAGUUGGUGAGGUAAAGGCUCACCAAGGCUACGAUCAGUAGCUGGUCUGAGAGGAUGACCAGCCACAUUGGGACUGAGACACGGCCCAAACUCCUACGGGAGGCAGCAGUGGGGAAUCUUGCGCAAUGGGCGAAAGCCUGACGCAGCCAUGCCGCGUGGAUGAUGAAGGUCUUAGGAUUGUAAAAUCCUUUCACCGGUGAAGAUAAUGACUGUAGCCGGAGAAGAAGCCCCGGCUAACUUCGUGCCAGCCGCCGCGGUAAUAC